GGCGUCAUUAUGGAGUAAACAGGGUGGCGUCAUUAUGAUUAUGGAGCAAAGGGUUAAAGACUGUUUCAAAUUUUCAAGAAUCAUUAAAAAACCUUUCUUUACAGGUUUGGUUAACCUAUAACAUUUUUAUUUUGUUAACUGUUUAAAUAAUUAUCUUCUUGUAAUCUUAAUCUGCUAGGGUGCUUCUCAGCCAUGUCACAUGUUUGAGUCAAUUCUAAAUAAUAGAAUGAAGAUAUACUAUGAUCCAAAGAGGUUGAAAAAAGAUAUGACCCAAUAUGAUUGCAAGUAUCAGCUCUAAACUUAGCCUUUAAAAUAUAAUAUUUCACAAAUAUAAUCCAAUAUAUUCUUUAAAAAACAUUGAAAUUGAUGAAAUGUCUAUG
rnacentral:lncRNA from 1 species